CCUGAGUCUGCUAGCGGUAGUGACGGGCAGCUAAUUCAGCAUCACUAAUAUCUCCAAUCCGUAUAUGGUGAUCUGAUAUGUAGGCUCGAGUGUUACAAAAAAGACAUUCUAUUAGUUCCAGUUAGUAGCAGUAAUUACAAUUACUGUAUUUUGUAUCUGGUGAUCUGAUCUGUAGGCUCGGUCCUGUGGUCCUUUAUAUGAUUGCAAAAGCAAUAGAUCAAAACACUACAACUUGAAGUAUGGAUUCCAUUACGUAAAAAUCUUCACAUAAUUAUAUUGGCGCUUUGGACACACUCGCAUAGUUGCAUCAGCAAUUUAGCUGUUUUAUGUAAAGCAUAUAUUGCGUAAUCUAUACAUGCAUAUGAAAUUUAGUUGUGUUCCAAGAAAAACAUGCCCAAAUUACAUAGAUAUACAUAAUUAAGGUGUAGUUAUCUCUCUACCUUUUAAAACAAAUGUGAUACAUGCAUAUGAAAUUUAACGAAAAAGUUGUGUUGCCUAUAAAAAGUAUGCCUAGAUUGCACUGGUAUGCAUAUAUUAAAAUGUUAUACAAUACUAUAUCUUAACGCAUGUCCCCACAGCUUGGGCAUGAUUUUUUCAGCCAAUGUUAUACAAUACUAAACUUUCUUGUCUAUUUGUUUUAUGUAGAAGUGAAUGAAGAAGAAGACAUUGUGAAUUUAGAUGUUGAUGAUGAUGAUGUAGACUUUACGUCAUUCACAAAUUUGUCGUUGAGUAACCCGUUUACAUUUGAAGAACUUGGAGGACAUGGAAGAAUUGAAGAACUUGGUGGAGUUGGAGGAGCAAGUGGAAGUGGUACUCGUGGGUUAAUUAAUAGAUGAAGAUGAUGAUGGAAAUUGGCAAGAAGCAUCACCAAUCAACCUUAGAAUGAUUUAUGUUUUUUGUGAAUUAAGUGUCAUGUAUUUUAUUUUAGUUUUUAUUGUUUAUGACAAAUUAUCAUCUUAAUAUAUUUCAGACAUUUGGGCUGCCGCUGCUAAAAAGGAGAGACAGAGUGAAAGGUUAGGCAAUUGAGUCCAUUACAAUAACAUGUGAAACGUUUAAAACGAGAGAGAAAAAUAAAACAAGGUAGAGAGAGCUGUUAUAGCUGCUGCCACUCCAUUACUUACCAUUCCAGGUACUUGGUGAUUUAUUGUUCCUGAGAAUAGAUGCAGUCACUUCCUACUCUUCAAUUGAUUUGUUUUUUUGUCCCCCCUGCUGUAACAUGUGUUUGAACUUUUCAUAUUCAGGGAACUUCUACUCCUUAUCCAUGAACAUCUACAAGAAUCUGGUUUGGCAACAACUGCAGCUUCACUUUUGAAGGAGGCUCAAUCGAUGCCUUUGCCAUCAUUGGCACCCCCUUCAUCUCUAGCACAUCAAGCCUCUGGACAGGAAACUCCAUCACCACAAAUUCAAUGGCCUUCUGGGCGAACAUCCUGUGGAUUUUUUUUUUGAAAAAUCGAAUUUUACCUUGUGGGAUGAAGAUUCUAGUGUGAAGAAUUAUUCAGCAGUGUAUUCCUCAAAAAAGAAACCAUUGGUUUUCUCAUCUGCGCUUGGUUCACAAUCAAAAAAUCAGUCCCUAUCUCAAGAUUCCAACCCUCCAUCUUGCAGUAAAUUGAACAAUACUUCAAAAAAGUCAUCUGGCCCUGCAGAAACACCAAAUUCU
rnacentral:lncRNA from 1 species